CCGGGUGUCGUCGGGCACCGUGACGGCCGACUCCGGCUUGGCCCAGAAGAGCACGUCGUCGGGGUCGCGCUCGACGCCCGGC
rnacentral:tRNA from 1 species